rnacentral:snoRNA from 1 species
CUGCUGACAAUUCUGCUGAUCGCCCUCCUUCUUAUGGAGACCGAUGUGCAAUGGCUGCCUCCUUGAUAGUGUGGCAACCUGUUGGCAUGGAUAGCUUCCCUAAUGGAUACUGGAGUCAGUC